CAGAUCUGGGCCGUGACUACGACCUACACCACAGCUCAUGGCAAGGCCAGAUCCUUAACCCACUGAGUGAGGCCAGGGAUGGAACCUGCAUCCUCAUGGAUGCUAGUUUGGUUCAUUAACCACUGAGCCACGACGGGAAUGCCCAAAAAACAAAUUAAAAAUAAAAGAUAAAAGGGUUUUCUCUAGACUGACAGAGCUGUCUCCCAGAACUCACUUGCUGACCAGUGGUCAAAGGGGAAAUCAUUUGUUAGCCCCUCCCUGAGGGGGAAGUGCUGAGUAAAGGGCUCAGAGGGCGUCUUCUCUCCCCUGUGUCUGCCUGCUAGAUGUUCCUCUGCAGCUGAACAGCUGGCAGGCAGCCCGAGAUGGGGCCCUGCUCAGGAAACCCCCACCUCCGCUGGGCCUCCCGGCUCCUGGGACUCCUCAGCCUCCUCUUCACCUUAACCCCCCUCUCCCACCAAGGCCAUCUCUUCAGGGCUACUGUGACUCUCGUGAUGGAAGGACCGGUUUUAUAUAACCCAGGACCACCCAGUGACAUCCCCUCACCUUUGCUGGGUCCUAUUCCUUGUAAGCCAGUCACUAGGUGCAGCCCAGCUUCCAGGGGAGGGGGUUCCACGGGGGUGCAACCAGCAGGAGGGAGGGACUUAGGGAGACAUUUUGGAAGCUGCCUCUUACAGUUACGCACUUGCUGUCUGUCCCUGAAAAUGUGCUCAGUGAUUUUUUUUUUUUUUUUUUUUUUUUUUUUUUUU
rnacentral:lncRNA from 1 species